UUUCACUGUGUGCCAGGCUCUGCCCUCAGCCAUGGAAACUCACGGCCAAGUAGAAGGGCCAGCUGUCGUCAUUCAGCCCUGAUCAUCCUCAAGUGAGGCCUUCUGAGGAUUUGACCCACCUGGGUCAAGGCUAAGCCGAAGCAAUAAGAGUGGAGAGAAAGAGAACUCUCCUCUUUCUCUCCCUCCUCCUUUCCUGCGGCUCCCUUCUCUUGUCCCUUCCAAUCCCACUGCCUCCUCUUCUCUCUUUUUCUGGAGCCCCUCUCUUCUCUGACUCUGAGCUCCCGGAGGAGAGGAGGCAGUUGUUUAUAAAGCCACCUGCCAAAACCUCCCUAGGGACCCUACUGGGAGGUGUGCAGAUGGGUGGGUGGGACGGAAAGUCAUCACCUGCAGGGUUGUGGGAGACAUUUCUAUUAAUUUGAGGGAAAGGUAUGCAGAGAGCCAGAGACAUGGGGGAGAGAAUACCCUAGAGGGAUUCAGGUCUUGGAAGCCUUGGAAACACCAGUUUGACUCAGUUUUGGGGCUGUUGAUUUUUUGUGCUCAACUGCCCACAGGAAACAGGGUCUCCGUUAGAGCCCUCAGCUAGCCCCCGGAGACCUUCAGAGAGCCUCUGGAUCAGUCCACAGGCAGUGAACAGGCUCUGCAUCAGGCUGGGGCUUCCCGUGGGAAGCGUCUCGCUCAGGGUCUGGUCCCCCACACCCCUCCUUCCCCCUUAACUUGAUCCUUGAAGCCCCCAGUUCGCUUGUUUCUUUUUAGAUGUAAUUAUGCUUUCCCUCUCCCUGCCCAGCAAGGCCAGCGGCCAGGACCCUGGUGAAGUCCAGAGUGGGAGCCCAGGAAGGGGCCAUCCCACCCACAAACGAGAAUCGGAUACUCCAGUGGAAAGCGCCCGCGGAAGUUUCAGGUUACUGAACUUUUCCACAGAAAUCCUGACCCAAAUUUCUUGGCCUCAGGCGGUUUACAACACAAACCCCCGCCUAAAUGAAGCCUCGCGGCGCCCCCCGCCGUCCCCAGCCCCGGGUGUACGCGCGCUCACGCCGGCGUUCCCCUCCCACCCUCGCGCCGCUCCCUCGCCGCCUCGCGCGUGCCGCCCGUGUCUGGACAGCGAUUUCUUCUGCUGUUUGGAUACAGCUCUCUUCUCUCCUUCUUUGUUAGUCCCUGGUCUGCCGUCUCUGGAGGGGGCAUUGAUGUCUCGGGAAUACUAGCACACCCUCUUCAUUCAGCUGAACGCGGGACUCUACAUUAAUUCAAGGGGUCUUUGAUGGCCUUUGGUUCCUGGUAUCAGACACUGGCUCAAGACAAUGCACUGUGCUAGAAUCUGAUUGGAUUUACUCGGUUUGCGGUUGCACGAGACCUGGUUAUCUCAAGGUAAGAGUCAAUAAGUACAUCUGAUUAACUGAUUUGACCUGGGGCACUUUGAGGGGUCCUGUUGUAAUCUUGUUGUUUUCCUCUGCUUUUCUCAUUUAUUCCUCUUUUUUGCAACUUGAGAAGUAAAAUAGCAGCCUACCAAGGUGAGGCCACGCUUGCAGGGAUAACAUUUGAGCCAAGGCUUCAUAAGGGCUGCUGUAGGAGGGGAGAGCAUCCUGGCACUUUCGUGGGCUACGUGGCAGACUGCAGUUGCAAGGAUUAGCAGUGUGAGCCCUGAUCCUGCUACCUCUUUGCUGUGUGACCCCAGACAACUUGCUUCACUUCUCUAAACCUGAGACCUGCCUCACAAAAAUGAAGAGGAAGCAUAUAUGCCUUUAUGUUGGGUAACUGAAGAGUAAUAGACUAAUACUGAUAAUAGUAGUGGCUAUCAUCCCUUGAAGACCCUUGUGGUGCUUGGCACUUAACCUGUGUGAUCUAUAAUUCUCAUAAGCAGCCAUCUAGGGGUACUUUUAUUUCCAUUUCAUAAGUAAAGGGGCAAUGGCAUGGAGGUUUGCAUCCCUUGAAACGUGCUCUUCUUUCUGUUUUGUGAUUCUGUGUCUGUGGUAAAGGAGGCCUUCCCUGCCUAACAUGUCCUGUUAGCUACUUUUGGAGCUACCAACAGGGGUGGGCCUAGACCGGGCCGUGGAUACCUGGCUUCCUGGGACACCUCUGUGUCUCCUACCUCUCCCAUCCCUGGAGGUUGCCAUUCAAAAGAGUACUGUGGUUGCACCUUCUGCAUUUGGGUGCCCUGUCACUCAUCAGGAUCAAGGCAAGUUCUCAGCAAAAUUUAGAAUUUGUCAAGAUCUUUGGCCUGGUGCCUCAUCCAAAGUGCUGUUUAAGAAGCUCUUUUUUGAGUUGAAUUGGCACUGUGUCAUCUCUCCUUUCAAACUAAGUUCUUUUUUUUUCCUGUUUGGGCUCCAGGAAUUUUUUUCUCAGCUUUUCCCAGGACAUCCUGGAUAUUUAUUUUUGCUGUGCACUUUAACCUUGCAAAACAUUUAGGGAUCUCUAGCUUGUCAUCUCAAGGGGGUAUAGAAAUUGGAGUUGUAGAAGAAAUUAAUAAAAAUAAAGCUUGAAACUUUCCAG
rnacentral:lncRNA from 1 species